AGAAAGAAAGAGAAUACAAACAAAGUUUUUUUUUCUUAAUUUAUUCCUUGAUAUCUAGUAAGUUAGGAAUGCAAAGUACAUAUAAGUGGGACAUAGGUCAAAGAGAAUUUUAUUAGAGGGAGAAGCCCAAUCGAUGAAAGGGAGUUGUUAGAGGAUGAAUCCCGCUGGCAUGACCACUCCGUCCCGACGGAGCAAUUGUGGCCACCGGUUUUUCAAGUCAAAUACCAGAAACCAAGCAAACAGAAAUUCUCCGGAGCUGGCUUGUAGGAAGGCAAGAAUCAUUACGGAUACUACGAAAAGUUCGAUUGCCAAGUCCAUAUUCAUAACCUUCAUGUUUUUGUGUUGAAAUAUGAAUGCAGUGGAGCACAAUGGAGCGACCUAUUUAAUGAGGAUUAAGAUGCUACAUUUGGUAAGACAGAAGAAGGAAACAUAUGUGAGGACUGAGGACUGUAUACCUAUUCAAGCAUUAGGAUGACAAAUAUGAAGGCAACAUACAUAUUUAGUAACUUAUUUAUUAAAAUAUCUAUAUUUGUAUCUGUAUCUAUAUUCAAGCAUUAGGAAAAUGUAGUAACUUUGUAUUAAAAUUUUUAUAUUUGGAAUUUUUUU